rnacentral:ncRNA from 2 species
CGAUGUCGCGCGGGAGAGUCCCCCAGCGGGGCGCCGAAGGAGCAACUCCUCCCCGGAAUCUCUCAGGCCCAGGUACCGCGCGACGAAG